UACGGAGGGUGCAAGCGUUAUCCGGAUUCACUGGGUUUAAAGGGUGCGUAGGCGGGCAGGUAAGUCCGUGGUGAAAUCUCUGAGCUUAACUCAGAAACUGCCAUGGAUACUAUUUGUCUUGAAUAUUGUGGAGGUAAGCGGAAUAUGUCAUGUAGCGGUGAAAUGCUUAGAUAUCAGGUGGAACACCAGUGGCGAAGGCGGUGUUCUGGGCCAGUACUGACGCUGAUGCGCGAAAGCGUGGGGAGCGAACAGG
rnacentral:rRNA from 1 species